ncrna:unclassified sequences DTF3268 RNA
UAGAAAAGCUUGCGCUCAGGCUUUCUGCGCGGACGAAGUCGACCGGCCGCCAACACAUACCCAGAAGGGUAUGGAGCAGUUACGGAACGGUGCAUUGAGCAGAUCCAUACGGCGCAAGCA